AAUAGGAUGCCUGAUUAAAGGAUUAUUUUGAUAGAAUAAAUUAAGUAAAAUUUUACUCUUAUUG
rnacentral:tRNA from 1 species